AGUGAACGCUGGCGGCGUGCUUAAGACAUGCAAGUCGAACGGCAGCCUUCGGACUGUAGUGGCGCACGGGUGAGUAACGCGUAACUGACCUACCCCAAAGUCGCGGAUAACGAUUCGAAAGAAUCGCUAAUACGUGAUGUUCUGCCCGAAUGUGUUCUGCCAGUAAAGAUUGAUUGCUUUGGGAUGGGGUUGCGUUCCAUCAGCUAGUUGGUGGGGUAAAGGCCCACAAAGGCGACGACGGAUAGCCGGCCUGAGAGGGUGGCCGGCCACAGGGGCAAUGAGAAAAAGGUCCCACUCAUAGGGGAGGCAGCAGCUAGGAAUCUUCCACAAUGGGCGAAAGCCUGAUGGAGCGACGCCGCGUGAGGGAUGAAGGUCUUCGGAUCGUAAACCUCUGAAUCAAGGGACGAAAGACACUGCGGUGGGAUGACGGUACCUGAGUAAUAGCACCGGCUAACUCCGUGCCAGCAGCCGCCGUAAUAC
rnacentral:rRNA from 1 species